CAGAGCUGAGAAAAGGAGAAAGAAGCAGGAGAGUAGAAAAUUUGACACAAAAUUGACAAAAGUCACUAGUUUUUUCACCGUCACCACCAGCAACAAUCAACCGGUGACAUCCGUCGACAUCCGUUCAGGAGGGUCCGUCGUGUGGAGAUCAAGAUGAACAACCACACCACAUAGAGCAUGUACUGGCUGAACCUGCUUGCUGCUGCUGCCCAUAUUUGAGCUGUGUAAAGCACCACAACAAUAAAAGGAUCAAUUAAAGGAUGUGGAGGGCCCCAAAAUAGCUAAAUCCGCCCAUGAAUGUUGCUAGUGCCUGGAGCACCCACCUAUCCACCAGCAAAAGUCCAACUGAUGAGGCAAAACCUGAGGACCCCCAGUGGCAGAUGAGCGGGGAGCUUUGGGCAGCACAAAAUGAAGCAAAACACCUUUCAUCUGCGCAAACUGCCCACCCUGCUGUGACACAGAGCUGUUUAAAAUAUUGGCAAAGAUUCCCUUUUCUGUUGUCCUGGUGGAAAUAGUGUUAAAAAUGUACAUGAUACUAAUAUCAUUAUUACAGUAUAUAAAUGAGUCUAGUUCUCUUUGCGCCUUAGGUUAUUAAAGGUCAGUAACAAUAACUUCUUUCCAAAAACAACAGAGUAUUGCCUAAACGUCUUUAAAGUCUUUUGUCCUUGUCGGCUAUGGAUCCACUUGCCAGCAGCAUUGUGUGCUCUUGAAGCAAUAUUGAGGAGUGAAGAGACAUUGUCACGCCGGU